rnacentral:rRNA from 1 species
UGACCAUCAUGUCGGUCGUGCCUCGGUACGUACUGGUAUUGUUGGUUUCUCCCUUCUGACGAACCAUGAUGUCAUUUAUUUGGUGUUGUGGGGAAUCAGGACUGUUACUUUGAAAAAAUUAGAGUGUUUAAAGCAGGCUCACGCUUGAAUACAUUAGCAUGGAAUAAUGAAAUAGGACGUUUGAUUCUAUUUUGUUGGUUUCUAGGAUCGACGUAAUGAUUAAUAGUGAUAGUUGGG